UAUGCCGAGAUUCAUCAAGUUCUUCAACCCUUGCCAAUCCAAAAUCACAGAUCUGAAAACAAAAGUAUAAUUUCUGUUUCAAAGGUUUGGGAGGAAAUCAGAGUACCAGGAGGAAAACCACACAGACAUGCUGAAAACAAAAAACUCCAUGCAGAUAGUGCACUGGUUGGAAUUAAACACAAGAAUCCAGCACUCCAAAGCAGCAAUGGAGGCUAUCUUAUAAGCCUAUAAGAAAACAGCUGUUGCUAGUAGCUACUCAUAAGCUUAAUGGCCAGACACUAAUGACCCUAUAUAACAUGUUUAACACAUGUGUAUUUUCAAAUAAACAAUAUUAAAUACUGUA